UACAGAGGGGGCAAGCGUUGUUCGGAAUUACUGGGCGUAAAGGGCGCGUAGGCGGCCUUCUAAGUCGAACGUGAAAUCCCCGGGCUCAACUCGGGAACUGCGUCCGAUACUGGAGGGCUUGAAUCCGGGAGAGGGAUGCGGAAUUCCAGGUGUAGCGGUGAAAUGCGUAGAUAUCUGGAGGAACACCGGUGGCGAAGGCGGCAUCCUGGACCGGCAUUGACGCUGAGGCGCGAAAGCCAGGGGAGCAAACGGG
rnacentral:rRNA from 1 species